UGGAGCUCGACUCUCCCAUUAGAGGUGAUU
rnacentral:piRNA from 1 species